rnacentral:rRNA from 1 species
GACGAACGCUGGCGGCGUGCUUAACACAUGCAAGUCGAGCGGAAAGGCCCUUCGGGGUACUCGAGCGGCGAACGGGUGAGUAACACGUGAGUAACCUGCCCUAGGCUCUGGGAUAACUGUCGGAAACGAUGGCUAAUACCGGAUAUUCAGCUUUCUCCGCAUGGUGGGGGUUGGAAAGUUUUUCGGCUUGGGAUGGGCUCGCGGCCUAUCAGCUUGUUGGUGGGGUGAUGGCCUACCAAGGCUUUGACGGGUAGCCGGCCUGAGAGGGCGACCGGCCACACUGGGACUGAGACACGGCCCAGACUCCUACGGGAGGCAGCAGUGGGGAAUAUUGCACAAUGGGCGAAAGCCUGAUGCAGCGACGCCGCGUGAGGGAAGACGGCCUUCGGGUUGUAAACCUCUUUCAGCAGGGACGAAGCCUUCGGGUGACGGUACCUGCAGAAAAAGGACCGGCUAACUACGUGCCAGCCGCCGCCGUAACAC